AGCGAACGCUGGCGGCAGGCCUAACACAUGCAAGUCGAACGGAUCCUUCGGGAUUAGUGGCGGACGGGUGAGUAACACGUGGGAACGUGCCCUUUGGUUCGGAACAACUCAGGGAAACUUGAGCUAAUACCGGAUGUGCCCUUCGGGGGAAAGAUUUAUCGCCAUUGGAGCGGCCCGCGUCUGAUUAGCUAGUUGGUGAGGUAAGGGCUCACCAAGGCGACGAUCAGUAGCUGGUCUGAGAGGAUGAUCAGCCACAUUGGUACUGAGACACGGCCCAAACUCCUACGGGAGGCAGCAGUGGGGAAUCUUGCGCAAUGGGCGAAAGCCUGACGCAGCCAUGCCGCGUGAAUGAUGAAGGUCUUAGGAUUGUAAAAUUCUCUCACCGGGGACGAUAAUGACGGUACCCGGAGAAGAAGCCCCGGCUAACUUCGUGCCAGCCGCCGCGGUAAUAC
rnacentral:rRNA from 1 species